GAACUGCGAUAAGUAAUGUGAAUUGCAGAAUUCAGUGAAUCAUCGAAUCUUUGAACGCACAUUGCGCCCGCCAGCACUCUGGCGGGCAUGCCUGUUCGAGCGUCAUUUCAACCCUCAGAACCCCUUGCGGGAUCUGGCGUUGGGGAUUGGCAUCCAGCCAGCCCCGAAAUCUAGCGGCGGUCCCUCCGCGACCUCCCCUGUGCAGUAGCGAUACCUCGCAGCGGGACAGCGGUCUGACCACGCCGUAAAACCCCCAACUUCUCAAGGUUGACCUCGAAUCAGGUAGGAAUACCCGUUGAACUUAAGC
rnacentral:misc_RNA from 1 species